CAGAAAAUGGAUAUGGGGCCAUGUCCUAAGGUCCAUUCCCUGCAGCUGAGGAAAGAGUAUCCUUUAUUAGCUUUUAAUAAUUGUUGCUCUCUCUCUCUCUCUCUCUCUCUCUCUCUCUCUCUCUCUCUCCACACACACACACACAUACUUGCAUGUGUGUGAAAGUGCAUGCAUGCUUUCAUUCUCUGUGUUCAGUUAUGAUCAGUUUAAAGAGCCCAAUUGUUUAUUCCUGUAGUUUUAC
rnacentral:lncRNA from 1 species